rnacentral:rRNA from 1 species
UAAUGGGUCAGCGACUUAUAUUCUGUAGCAAGGUUAACCGAAUAGGGGAGCCGAAGGGAAACCGAGUCUUAACUGGGCGUUAAGUUGCAGGGUAUAGACCCGAAACCCGGUGAUCUAGCCAUGGGCAGGUUGAAGGUUGGGUAACACUAACUGGAGGACCGAACCGACUAAUGUUGAAAAAUUAGCGGAUGACUUGUGGCUGGGGGUGAAAGGCCAAUCAAACCGGGAGAUAGCUGGUUCUCCCCGAAAGCUAUUUAGGUAGCGCCUCGUGAAUUCAUCUCCGGGGGUAGAGCACUGUUUCGGCAAGGGGGUCAUCCCGACUUACCAACCCGAUGCAAACUGCGAAUACCGGAGAAUGUUAUCACGGGAGACACACGGCGGGUGCUAACGUCCGUCGUGAAGAGGGAAACAACCCAGACCGCCAGCUAAGGUCCCAAAGUCAUGGUUAAGUGGGAAACG